GCGUGAAGGAUGAAGGCCUUUGGGUCGUAAACUUCUGUCAGAGGGGAAGAAAUACUCGCAAGAGAGCUGACGGUACCCUCAAAGGAAGCACCGGCUAACUCCGUGCCAGCAGCCGCGGUAAUACGGAGGGUGCAAGCGUUGUUCGGAAUUAUUGGGCGUAAAGCGCAUGUAGGCGGAUUGUUAAGUCUGGUGUGAAAGCCCGGGGCUCAACCCCGGAAGUGCAUUGGAUACUGGCAGUCUUGAGUAUGGGAGAGGAAAGUGGAAUUCCGAGUGUAGGAGUGAAAUCCGU
rnacentral:rRNA from 1 species